rnacentral:rRNA from 1 species
GACGAACGCUGGCGGCGUGCUUAACACAUGCAAGUCGAGCGGUAAGGCCCCUUCGGGGGUACACGAGCGGCGAACGGGUGAGUAACACGUGGGUGACCUGCCCUCAGCUCUGGGAUAAGCCUGGGAAACUGGGUCUAAUACCGGAUAUGACUCCAUGACGCAUGUCGUGGGGUGGAAAGCCUUGUGCGGCUGGGGAUGGGCCCGCGGCCUACCAGCUUGUUGGUGGGGUGAUGGCCACCAAGGCGACGACGGUAGCCGGCCUGAGAGGGCGACCGGCCACACUGGGACUGAGACACGGCCCAGACUCCUACGGGAGGCAGCAGUGGGGAAUCUUGCGCAAUGGGCGAAAGCCUGACGCAGUGACGCCGCGUGAGGGAUGACGGCCU